AAAAUACUCCCUCCGUCCCAAAGUUCUUGUCUUACAUUUGUCUAAAUACGGAUGUAUCUGUAUCUAGACAAAUCUAAGACAAGAAUUUUGGGACGGAGGGAGUAUUCU
rfam:Triticum aestivum genome assembly, contig: Triticum_aestivum_CS42_TGACv1_scaffold_513176_6BS